rnacentral:rRNA from 1 species
UAACGAAUCUUCCGCAAUGGGCGCAAGCCUGACGGAGCAAUGCCGCGUGUGGGAUGAAGCGUCUCUGACGUGUAAACCACUGUCAGGGGUUAGAAACAAUGAUCAACCCCAAAGGAAGUGGCGACUAACUCUGUGCCAGCAGUCGCGGUAAUACAGAGGCCACAAGCGUUAGUCGGAAUCACUGGGCUUAAAGGGUGCGUAGGCUGGUCCGCAAGCGUCUUGUGAAAGCCCUCGGCUCAACCGAGGAACAGCAGGGCGAACUGCGGAUCUUGAGGCAGGUAGGGGUCGCGAGAACAGUAGGUGUAGCGGUGAAAUGCGUAGAUAUCAAGAGGAACACCUGAGGUGAAGACGGGUUGCUGGGCUGACACUGACGCUGAGGCGCGAAAGCCAGGGGAGCAAACGGGAUUAGAUACCCCCGUAGUCCCUGAGCGGGCUGGCAAGGCGCAU